AUACUUACCUGGCAGGGGAGAUGCCAUGAUCGUGAAGGCUUAUCCAUCCUGCGAUUUCCCCAAAUGUGGGAAAUUCAACUGCAUAAUUUGUGGUAGCGGGGGCCUGCACUUGUGCUCUCUCCAA
ensembl:snRNA U1 U1 spliceosomal RNA